rnacentral:lncRNA from 1 species
GCAGUAAUGACGGAAAUUUUGGGGUCAAGAAGAGCCCUUGAUUAACGUUGUACAAAUAAAAGGAAUAAAAAAAGGAUCAAGGACAACUGUUACCAUCUAGUUCAUUCAGUAAAGAUGGUCAAAUAAUAUGCAAUAUUAGAUGAACCCAGAAUUUGUUACUUUAAGUAUUGAAUUGUAACUGAUUAAUACUAUCCUGCUCCCUUGUAUGUUUUAAAGAAAUGAGAUAAUGAACUAUUAGUUGGAUGACCUAGACAUCCUUUUCAUUAGAUCGAAUUCUAAGAUAUGAGAGAUAUAUAAACAAGUCGAAAACCGGAAGCUAGGAAUAAUAUGAAAGAUAUUGCAACGGAGAGGACUUUGAGCUCUAGAUAUCAGUGCUUGGUGAAUAGAGUAGUAUUCGACCAUAAAAUAGGUCACUAAUGUAUAUUUUCGUUGUUGCCAGCAAAAAAAAUACUAGGAGAGACAGCCUGAGGAAGGGAAGAAGCUGUUUCUGAAAAACUAAUAUUUCCCGAGCUUCUCGCCGAUAUAUAAUUGAAUUUCAUUAAAAUAGGAUUUGUAUCUACGCAUAUCAAGUGAAGAAUAAUGUUUGCCAUUGGAAACGUAGAACAUCAGUUCCCUAGAAGCGAGCUUUCCUCAGCAUGAAGUGAAGACGAUCGGUCCGCUGGUUACAAACGUCUCUAUUCAAUCCACUGAUCCAUGCAGCAACUGCCAACAAAAUGUAGACAAGAAAAAAUUUAGCAAGAAUAAGUAUCAUCAUCAACAACCAGUAUCCUGACUUGGCCUGCCUUAGUAAGGAAUUCCAUUGUCUUGUGCAGUAAGAGCUUUGAUUCUAUGGUGAGACGUUCCGAGCGAAGGAGUUUUUGUAACCUGAAAGAAUAAGUAUUCUCAACUUUAAGCCAGGAUCAAUGACGUCCAAUCACUCUUUGAUUAGUUUAAAAUAUUGCACAUAAAAUAGAAUCGUACUAAGUAAUUUCAGUAAUGAAUCAUCUGAAAGUAACUAAGCGAUUUAUACAUAAUAUGGCCCCAUCCAAGCUUCUAUAAAUGUGGUAGAAAAUAAGUUGUGAUCAACUUGUUGUUGCGGCAGGAAUUUAAUACCUCACUGUCAAUAGUUACAACAACAAAACAAAAUAACAUAGCGAGCAGGCACACGUCGUAUGACAUCAACGUCCGUAAUCCUCAGGAAUUAAAACAAUUUACUGAAGAUGCCAAAUGAAUUGCUAAAGUAGGCAAAGAAUAUUAACUUGGUAGAUGUAGGUAGAUUUCUUGUGUAAGAAAUUUUAGGCGUAACUUUUCUACCUUAAUAUCUUAAAGGCAAUAUAUUAUGUCUUAGAGUAGAAUGAAUUUGCACGAAAAUCGCAAA